GUGGUAGCCAUGCAGGUCACAUUUGUCGCAUGUGAGCCUGCUGACUGCAUUGCAAGGAACAGCGUAGCAAGGGGUUGCAAAUUUGGUGACCAACUUAUUCCGAAGGGUCAAGCUGUGAGCAUGGCAGCUCCCUGUGUUCAAGCUUCGUGCUCAGCGGAUGGAACAACACUUACAGUUCGCGGGUGCCCAUUUGAAGGUGGAGCACACCCACACCCCGGAGGAGCUACACCCGCUUUACCAGGUCGACAAUACCCUUUUUGUUGCAAUAAGUGCAACCCAGUACCAUAACUGGAUAUAACGGGUACUGGAGCCAGUUGGACGAGUUCAAGUGCCCUGAACGCCAACGAUGGCAUAAAUAUAAUCUAUAUCAGUGUAGCAGCAGUAAAAAUAGAUCAGCGGAUAGGAGUUUGUGUUAAGAAUAAAAUAGGUUUACUA